AGCAAAGGAGAGAUGAGCUGGUGGAGAAGGCAAUGUUAAAAAGUGGCGCGAAAUAUUCAUUUCAAAUAGAGUAGAGUAGAGGGCGACUGAUAGAGAGCGCUGCUAAUCAUGACUAUAACAGCUGACGUAAGACUUGUUUUGUUUACGUUUCGCAGAAGUAGCAUUUUGAAAAAGACUGAUAAGAGUUUUGCAGGACACAUCACUCAUUUGUCGUCCCAAAUGAAGUGUUAUUUCCAGUUUCACAUUUUGAUUUUUGGAAACCUAUUGCAGCCCUGCAAUGUCUGAUGAGCAAAUGGCUUUCGUGUAAAGUCACACACCUCUCGGAAUGGACCACUUGACAAGGUACAAAAUUAAGCAUGCUGAUACUUACAUUUUUCUUUACCAAAAUUUCACGUAGAAAACAAUUCGCGCAACGAAAAUUAGUGGAUUUAACUCCUAACCAAGAUAUUUAAUGUUUCUUGAUGCGUGAAUUCAAACCUCCCGCUCAUGAAAACUCAAUGGUCUGUGAGAGUCAAAUCGCACACUAAACGUUACGAUGGCAGUCUCUGCAAUACAAAAAUAUAAUAGCCUCAAUCAUUACGCUUUGGCUCAGCUAUAGCAAAUUGUUUACACCUUGAAUGGUGAAGGUUGGGAAAGGAACAGUACUCGAUUAGUAGCCUGCCAAAACCGUUGUAAGGCGCGAUUUGACUCACGUGGAGUAUUAAGUUACUCGUGAGCGGGCAAUUCAAAGUUCCUGUAACCAAUGUAAAAUUAAAACGUUAAAAUCGUAGUAUUAUGAGUUGAUUUCAGUAAUUUUUGAUGCAAGAAUCGUGUUAUACAUGAAAUUCUGGUUAAAAAACAUGUAUCAGAAUGCUUACAUUCGUACCUUGUCUAGUGGUCCAUUAUGUUGCCGCUAAAUUGUUGGUGUUAUUUUUUAUUGUUUCACAUGAUAAGGACUAUCCAAGUACAAGAUCAUAAAUGGAAAUUUUUGGUGAAUAUGAAGUGAGAGAAAUUGAUUCAUGAUUAGUUUUCACGACCAAAUUUGAGUAUCAAGCAGAAAUUUUGCAAAGCUGCAGUGUUUGAUACCUAUAGGUUUUCGGAACAUCAAUGUCUGUUUCAGUUGUACCUAUUUCAUAGGAGUGGAAAAUGGAUCAUUACACAAUAGAUCGACAAAUGUUGCAUGGUAAUUUUGAAUAUUUACAAUCUUUUGCUCCGUCCUACUUUAAUGCCAUUUUACAACAAAUGAAGAUCAUUUGACAUGUAAUCAAUAAGGCACCAAUACAAAUAAGAAAAGCUUCAAUCAGCAACAAAAUAUUUUGGGAUCGAACAUUUGCUAGUGUUUUUUUAUGAAUUGUUAAAUUAACUUUGUGAAAUAAGAAAUCUACCUAUGUAUUUAACUAGCCUCUGAAUCCUUUUCUCCCUCCUCGGCCCCCAAAAGGAUCCUUCUACUAAUUUAUUAUUGUAUAUAUAUAUUUAUAUUUACUUAUGUUUGUUGCAAUAGUUCCAGAUAUUUUUUAAGACACUUUUUUGAUCCUGCAUUUAAUUCAUAACCUAUUUGUUACAAAAGUGUGGAUCAAUAAACAAAUUGUUGGCUUCUAACUCUCUUUAUACUCAUUCAUCAGACUCAAAACUCACCCUAGUAGCAGAACCACAGAAGGAAAAGAUAAAUAUUAUGUACGAAAGUUAAUUUUUUUUAUAUAAUGCAUGCAUACAAAAGUGUUAAAAGUGAACAUUUUUAUGUAACCAUUAUAUAAAACAAUGUUAUAAUUUUCGUGAGCUUUUCGCGAACAUACUAAAAAUUCUUCUAAUUCGCAAAAAGCUCACGAAAAUGAUGACCUAUUUUUUAUAUAAUCGUUACAUAAAAAUGUUCACUUUCAACACUUUCGUAUGCAUGCGUUAUAUAAAAAAAUAAAAAGUUUGUGUAUAAAAAAAAAUUACCUUAUCUAGCUUUUAUCAUUUUUCAUAUAUUACGGUAUACUUUGAUUUUUUUUUAUAUAAGCGUUACACGUUUUUUAUAUAAAAUGAUCAUUUAGAUAACAGAUAUGUUUUUUUUAUACUUUUUUUAGAAGAACAAAAAUUUGUUCUGCUACUAGGGAUAAUUUGAAUUUAAAUUCUUCUCAAAUCAAAUCUUCACAAUUGGUUGAAAUUCAUUUUGCAAUUAAUCAUUGCUGUGUAAUAUUGAUGUACUUACCAGGUGUAAGCUACAAUCAAACAGAAUCGAGAAUGAAUCUCUGAAGAGUCCCGCACAAAAUGAGAAAAUGGAUAGUUUCACUUCCUGAUAAAAAGUAGAAUAGGAUAAGGCCCUUAAUUAUUAUUAGGUACCAGCCGAGCAUAAUACCCAAUUCAUUUUUAAUCCACGGAACUUAGAUCAGAAAAAUUGCUCUACAAAUUAACCAUACAAUUUCGUUCAAGCAUGAGAGAGAGAAGUUGAUGCCAUCAGUUUCAACGAUGGACCUAUCGUAUUAUGAGUUCACCUUGGAGAGCAAUUCAAAAUUUUUAAUCCUACGCGUUCAAUGGUGCAUUCACUCGGAUUAAACACAUGUUGGAAUGUUGAUGCACAACCUACAAAUG
rnacentral:lncRNA from 1 species